rnacentral:lncRNA from 1 species
AGAAUAUAAGUUAGCCUCGUAGUGACCAUGUGGAAGUCCUGACCUCGCUUGCAGACUUGACCUCUGGAUGUGACAAGGUAGCUUCACUACAGCUCUACUAUUUAAUCCUGGAAACUAAAAACCAAAAAAAAAAAAAAAAAAAAUCUAAAAGCAAGAAAGAUGCAGACUAUUUCCUAAGAAGUCAGAAGAACCCAAUGUAUUCUGGAGGGCAAAGAAAAACAGGUGAGGUUCUGUGUUCACUGAUACAUCCCCUUCCUUCACCGGGCUCAUGAAAAGAAAUGCUGAAUCAGCAAAUAGAGUGAACGAACAAUCAAGAUGAGAUGGCUGCUGUUGAUGUGAUUCUCUAGGUUACUACCUUUCUUCCUGCUGCAAAUGCUGCAUGACACUAAGCUUACAGGUAACAGAGCACCAUAAGGCCUGUAC